GACUUCUGCUACUUCUGCGAUUUCUGUGACUCCUGCGAUUUCUGCGACGUACCACCGUAUGAAAAAGUUACAUCUGUCCACACAGAAAAUUGCAUCUCAACAAACCUGUCAUUGGUACCUGAACUACAUUUCAGUCACUCAGUAAAGAGAUAAUUCAAAGUAUCAUUGUCAACAGAUCUGAAGAAAUUGCCAGUCUUUAGACCGUUUUCGUCAGACGAGAGACGCAGUUCUGACUGAUUACUGGUUGCUGUACAUAUCUAUCCACAUCAAGGCUGUUGAGAGAGACUCGUGAAGAUUCAAGACAGCUCUUAGAGGAUUUGCAGUUUAAAAGUGAAAUAAUUAUGAAAUAAGUGUGCGACUGA